AAAAAAAAUGGUUUUGCUACAAAUAUCCAAGUAGCAUAACUUCACAUUGUGUUGGAAGAUUUGUCAUCAGUGAGGAAAACAUCUGCUUAAAUUACAGGAAUUUUUGUAUUAUACAGCUCUGAAAAUUCUGCCAUUUCCUUAUUAACUAGCAGCUUUAGUUUGUAGUUUAUGAAAUCUUGAGGGGCUCUUUUACUGGGAUUUCUUAUUUUU
rnacentral:lncRNA from 1 species